rnacentral:rRNA from 1 species
AUACGGAGGGUGCGAGCGUUAGUCGGAAUUACUGGGCGUAAAGCGUGCGUAGGCGGUUUGCUAAGUCAGAUGUGAAAGCCCCGGGCUUAACCUGGGAACUGCAUUUGAUACUGGCAGACUAGAGUAUGAUAGAGGGGGGUAGAAUUCCUGGUGUAGCGGUGAAAUGCGUAGAUAUCAGGAGGAAUACCAGUGGCGAAGGCGGCCCCCUGGAUCAAUACUGACGCUGAGGUACGAAAGCGUGGGGAGCGAACAGGAUUAGAAACCCUAGUAGUCC